rnacentral:rRNA from 1 species
AAUUCGAUGCAACGCGAAAACCUUACCACCUUUGACAUGGCAGGAAUCCUAAAGAGAUUUUGGAGUGCUCGAAAGAGAACCUGCACACAGGUGCUGCAUGGCUGUCGUCAGCUCGUGUCGUGAGAUGUUGGGUUAAGUCCCGCAACGAGCGCAACCCUUAUCCCUAGUUGCCAUCAGGUAAAGCUGGGAACUCUGGGGAGACUGCCGGUGAUAAACCGGAGGAAGGCGGGGAUGACGUCAAGUCCUCAUGGCCCUUACAUCCCGGGCUACACACGUGCUACAAUGGCAGGGUACAGAGGGCUGCGAAGCCGCGAGGUGGAGCGAAUCCCAGAAAACCUGUCUCAGUCCGGAUUGAAGUCUGCAACUCGACUUCAUGAAGGCGGAAUCGCUAGUAACCGCGAAUCAGCAGGUCGCGGUGAAUACCGGUUCCCGGGCCUU